GGACCCGCACAAGUAGUGGAGCAUGUGGUUUAAUUCGAAGAUACGCGCAGAACCUUACCAACACUUGACAUGUUCGUCGCGACUCUAAGAGAUUAGAGUUUUCGGUUCGGCCGGACGAAACACAGGUGCUGCAUGGCUGUCGUCAGCUCGUGUCGUGAGAUGUUGGGUUAAGUCCCGCAACGAGCGCAACCCUCACUUUUAGUUGCCAUCAUUUAGUUGGGCACUCUGAAAGAACUGCCAGUGAUAAGCUGGAGGAAGGUGGGGAUGACGUCAAGUCCUCAUGGCCCUUACGUGUUGGGCUACACACGUGCUACAAUGGUAUCUACAACAGGAAGCAAGACGGCGACGUUUAGCAAAUCCUUAAAAGAUACCUCAGUUCGGAUUGCACUCUGCAACUCGACUCCAUGAAGUCGGAAUCGCUAGUAAUCG
rnacentral:rRNA from 1 species